AUUGAACGCUGGCGGCAGGCCUAACACAUGCAAGUCGAGCGAGCGGCGGACGGGUGAGUAAUAUCUGGGAAACUGCCUGAUGGAGGGGGAUAACUACUGGAAACGGUAGCUAAUACCCAAUACCAUCAGAUGUGCCAAGAUGGGAUUAGCUAGUAGGUGGGGGAACGGCUCACCUAGGCGACACUCCCUAGCUGGUCUGAGAGGAGGACCAGCCACCCUGGAAUGGAUAAAGGGUCCAGACUCCUACGGGAGGCAGCAGUGGGGAAUAUGGCACAAUGGGCGCAAGCCCGAUGCAGCCAUGCCGCGUGUAUGAAGAAGGCCUUCGGGUUGUAAAGUACUUGCAGCGGGGAGGCGUUACCCGCAGAAGAAGCACCGGCUAACUCCGUGCCAGCAGCCGCGGUAAUUC
rnacentral:rRNA from 1 species